UACAGAGGUCUCAAGCGUUGUUCGGAUUCAUUGGGCGUAAAGGGUGCGUAAGUGGCGCCGUAAGUCAGGUGUGAAAUUUCGGAGCUUAACUCCGAAACUGCAUUUGAUACUGCGGUGCUUGAGGACUGGAGAGGAGACUGGAAUUCACGGUGUAGCAGUGAAAUGCGUAGAUAUCGUGAGGAAGACCAGUGGCGAAGGCGGGUCUCUGGACAGUUACGUGACGCUCAGGCACGAAAGCAUGGGGAGCAAAAGGG
rnacentral:rRNA from 1 species